rnacentral:rRNA from 1 species
AUUGAACGCUGGCGGCAGGCCUAACACAUGCAAGUCGAGCGGAUGAAGGGAGCUUGCUCCUGGAUUCAGCGGCGGACGGGUGAGUAAUGCCUAGGAAUCUGCCUGGUAGUGGGGGAUAACGUCCGGAAACGGGCGCUAAUACCGCAUACGUCCUGAGGGAGAAAGUGGGGGAUCUUCGGACCUCACGCUAUCAGAUGAGCCUAGGUCGGAUUAGCUAGUUGGUGGGGUAAAGGCCUACCAAGGCGACGAUCCGUAACUGGUCUGAGAGGAUGAUCAGUCACACUGGAAUUGGGAACCGGUCCAGACCCCCAGGGGGGGCAGGAGUGGGGAAUUUUGGACAAGGGGCGAAAGCCUGAACCAGCCAUGGCGGGGGGGUGAAGAAGGUCUUCGGAUUGUAAAGCACUUUAAGUUGGGAGGAAGGGCAGUAAGUUAAUCCCUUGCUGUUUUGACGUUACCAACAGAAUAAGCCCCGGCUAACUUCGU